rnacentral:tmRNA from 1 species
GGGGACGUUUUGGAUUUGACAGGAUGUUUGGUGAAAAUAGGUUGCGUGUGCGGGCGCUGUUCCCGCUUAUCAACGAGCAAAACAAAUUAAAUGCUAACAAUGUAAUUAAAGCAGACUUCUCUAGAGCAGCAGCUUUAGCAGCUUAGUCGCUAGAUAGCUACUCAUAGAGUCCAGCUUGCCGAUUUUAUGGGUCCAUUAUGCAAGACGCAGUGCAAUGAUUAGCGGUAAUUGCAUCAAGAUAACCGUUAAAGGUUUAGAGUUUCCUUCAAAUAAAACCUAGGACUAACAUAUUGGGUUUUGUGCUUUCCCUAGUUAGUUGAGCGAAUAAGUAACUACACACGUAGAGAUUUAUUUUGAUCCAUUUUGGACGUGGGUUCGACUCCCACCGUCUCCACCA